CUUUAAUCAUGUCUGUUCCUGCUGGUAGAGGUCUGUUGAUAAACAGCUUUAAUCCUGUCUGUUCCUGCUGGUAGAGGUCUGUUGAUAAACAGCUUUAAUCCUGUCUGUUCCUGCUGGUAGAGGUCUGUUGAUAAACAGCUUUAAUCAUGUCUGUUGAUAAACAGCUUUAAUCAUGUCUGUUCCUGCUGGUAGAGGUCUGUUGAUAAACAGCUUUAAUCAUGUCUGUUCCUGCUGGUAGAGGUCUGUUGAUAAACAGCUUUAAUCAUGUCUGUUCC